rnacentral:rRNA from 1 species
UACGUAGGUGACAAGCGUUAUCCGGAAUUACUGGGCGUAAAGCGCACGCAGGCGGCGCAUUAAGUCUGACGUGAAAAUCUCCUGGCUUAACUGGGAGGGGUCGUUGGAGACUGGUGUGCUUGAGGCGAUGAGAGGGGGUGUAGAAUUCCCGGUGUAGUGGUGGAAUGCGUAGAUAUCGGGAGGAACACCAAGGCGAAGGCAGCUCGCUGGGACGGUACUGACGCUGAGGCGCGAAAAGCGUGGGGGAGCAAACAGG